AUAGAAACAUGGUGAUCUAUGCCAUCAGCAACAUGAAGACUCCAAAGGCGGUGUGGAGCUCACACACUUUCAAAGGCGAGCUUUUGGAAGUUACAAUGUGAAUCUCUUACAUGCUUCUUCUUUCUCACUAGAUCCAUCUUCUCCGAAUGGAUCGACGCCGCAGCCAAAUGGUACCAGCUCUGUUUCGCAGCCUUCGUUUAGCUCCAAGUCGAGGCGAGGGAUUCGAACGAUUGCAGUCUCCUUAGGAGCGUCUCUCGUUGGAGUGGCACUGGUGAUUUUGUGUGUUGUGCUGAUUUUGCGAAAGAAAAGAAAUCGUAAAGCUAGCCGGGAAGCGUUGAGCUGGCUACCACCCGGUUCCAAGGCCAGGAAAUACUCGUACGAAGAGCUCCAAGAGGCUACCAAAG
rnacentral:lncRNA from 1 species